rnacentral:lncRNA from 1 species
UCUCUUAUAAUCAGAUAGCCUGGUGAUAAAUCCAAUUUGAGUACUUGGCUAUUUAGAGUUUAAAAAACUAGAUCUAUGCAUCAAAUGCUAGCAUAUAGCUUAAAUAUCAUAAAAUAGAUCUAGUCUAACAUAUGCUGAAUUUUAAUCUAAAAUACUUUUAGAUCUAACUAAACAUACUGAAAAUAGAUCUAAUCUAAAUAUUUUUAGAUCUGAUCACUAUUUCAGAUCACAUCUGAAUCAGAUCUAAUCUUGUUUUAGAUCUAUGAUCCAUACAACCUGAUACUGAUACCAGUUGAAGGAUCGUGUUGCACACCGGAUCGGCCAGAGUCGGUAGCAGUGAAAUUCAAAAAAAAUUUUUGAUUCGGCAUGUGAUAUAUAGAUCUAAAUUAGAUUAUAAUCAGCAUAUAAAUCAAGAGAAGGUGUAAUCACAUCACCUUGCAUGGGUAGACAAUCUCCGUACUUCGAUGAUCUUGAUUUUGUCGUGGUCUGUUGUCGAGCCACGCACCUGUCCGACCUCUACGAGUAUCCACUCAGAUCUGACCUAAGAUGCUUUCUCCAAAUCUGAUCUGCCUAUACUAUAGUAGAUCAAAGUGCUCCUGAUCAGCAAUGAAUCAAUCUCUGGGGCCAUCAGAUCAAUACUUGUCGCAACCUUUCUUCUUCCUUUAGUUGGACGGUGCCUGAACUCCUUCAAGCGCACUCUUGGGAUUAGCCAAACUCCUUUUGGGCAUGGGAUAUGGCAGCAGCCUACUCUUAGGCAUAUGAAAUUAGGGAGAAGAGGUGGAUAGUAUCAGCCUAACACCUUAGGCAUGAGGGAUUGGAGAGAGUUGGAGAUGGAGGAGAGUUAGGGUUUUGGAUUAAGGCCUUUUUAUUUUUUUACGUGCUGAAUCAUUUUUGCAAGGGGUCAUUUUAUAGACCUAAAAUCCUAACCUCUCUAACUAACAUGGGGCAGCACCAAUUUGAAUUCCCAAUUCAAAUGAGGCCGUCCCCUCCUUAUCCAUAAGGGCAUCGGCCCUUAUUUUUCUCCAUGCAAAAUUGGGACCGAAUCCCCUCUCCUUCUCUCAUUUCUUCAUGUAACAUUUACAUGAGAAAUCUGAAAGGGCAUGGAAGGAUCAAUCCCAUUCAAAAUUCAAGUGGAUCUCAUCCCAACAAUUUG